GCAUGGUGAACAGCAAUCUGGGGCAGGGGAUUCCACACUGUGUAUACUGCUGCCUGAUGUAGUGAUGGCAGUUCAGGUCCUGUGCAACCAGCGCUGUAGUCUCCAUUAUCCCAGACAGUGGUAUACAGAUUUGUUCAUAAUUGUUUGUUUGUUUGUUUUUUUAAUAGUCCAGCCCUCCAAUGGUUUGAGGGACAGUGAACUGUCCUCCUCUGUAAAAAGUUUGGGGACCCCUGCCUUAGACAAUCACAUGACAGUGCCUAGGGGAUCUUGCCGAGUCUCCAUUGAGCACACUGGGCUGAAGGUCCUUACAAUCUGUUUUCUGCAUGGAGGUAAUGGACUUUUUUAGAAAUAUCUUCAUCAAGAUUGAAAGAUUGGCUAGAUCUGAAGAACCUGUGACACGUAUCCAUGAGCUUCAAAGGGAAAGGGAUCACAAAGGAGCACAAAGUUGAUUUUCACAGUUCCUAGGAGCACAAGGUCAAGGAGACCAACCAAUCCCAGUAGGAUUGAUGAGAUUCUGCACCAAGACAAGGGACUUUAACGUAUUUUGAGGUUCAAGGAAGUGGCACCUUCAGACACAGGAUUCCCUUGAGCCAGAUUCAGACUUCUACCAAGUACAUUAGUUUGGCUGCCAUUUUGGCUCUCUUAUCCUUAAGAGCAAAGGUAAAAUCAGACCAAGGAAUGAUAUUUGCCUUCUGUUUCAAAAUCUAGU
rnacentral:lncRNA from 1 species